AUUGAACGCUGGCGGCAGGCCUAACACAUGCAAGUCGAACGAGUGGCGGACGGGUGAGUAAUGUCUGGGAAACUGCCUGAUGGAGGGGGAUACCUACUGGAAACGGUAGCUAAUACCGCAUACCAUCGGAUGUGCCCAGAUGGGAUUAGCUAGUAGGUGGGGUAAAGGCUCACCUAGGCGACGAUCCCUAGCUGGUCGGAGAGGAUGACCAGCCACAUGGGAACUGAGACACGGUCCAAACUCCUACUGGAGGCGGCAGUGGGGAAUAUUGCACAAUGGGCGCAAGCCUGAUGCAGCCAUGCCGCGUGGAUGAAGAAGGCCUUCGGGUUGGAAAGUGCUUUCAGCGGGGAGGCGUUACCCGCAGAAGAAGCACCGGCUAACUCCGUGCCAGCAGCCGCGGUAAUUC
rnacentral:rRNA from 1 species